GAUGGUGAAAUUAGCAAAAAUAAAAGGAACUCCCUGACUUGAAUUCACAAACUGUGCUUGUUUUUGUUAAACAGAACAAAAUCUGCAGUGACGGUAGCAAGUUCAAUAACGUGUAGCGCAUACGUUUUUCUCUCAGCUAGAAAGCACCUUCCUUAAGAAACGCUUUUAAAAUGUUUGAUGUAAACUACUGAAGAUACUCAUAUUAAAUAGUACUCUCCAAGCUGUGUGCAUCCUGGCUGGGUUUUUAACCAACCCCCUAACAGAAAGCUAUGAAUGGAAUGUGUAUCUCCUGGCCAGACCUAUGGAUAGGCUGGAGGACAUUAUUUAUAGUAGGAUGGGAAAGGCAAGAGGCACUGGACAAUCAUGGCAAAAAGGUAAACUCAAUGGUAGAAAGGAAGAUUCAUCACUCUUGCACAGAAGAAUGGACCUGGACUUCAUAUAACAGAUUCCAGUGGUUUACAUACAUAUGGGGGGCAUCCCUGUUCAAUAAUUUCAGCAUUACAUCCAUUCUUGUCUCCAUAAUGCAACAUCUGGAUUGAAUCUAGCAAACUCUUGAGGUGAAUGAAUGCUUCUGCCUGCAUGCUAUAAUUUUAGACCAUCAAGGAGUAAAAUAUUUGAUACAUGUGUUGCAUGGCUGAGUUUAAUGUAAAUUUUCAGGACACAUAGAAUCCCCUGCAAUUUGCUGUUUAAAAUCCCACAAUUUGCUAAUUUUCUUGUCAUGAUUGUUUUUAUUAUUACAUAUGACAUUUUAAUGAAUUAUUCACUUUUUAUAGUUGUGGUACUUUAUUAAAAAAUUUCAAAUUUUUGGAAUCAUGGUAGUACUUCAAAAAGCAGAUGAACUGUAUGAGCAAAUCUACUUUUACCCAACGUGGCUAUCUCAGGAUGCUAAGGGGUAAGAUUACCAUCUCAAAAGCAGUUAACUCACCAGAAGAGAUUACUGCUGCCAAAAGAAAAAAUUUAUUUUCCUUUCAUCUUAUACUUUUCUUCCUCUUUCUGCCACUUUUAGUGGUCGUGAGCAGUUAAAUAUCAUGUCUCAUAGGAAUUGAGCCUGAGAACCUGAAUAUACCUCUGAAGGUGGCUCUUUGAGAGUGCUCCUGAAAGUGUUCUCUGAUGGAAAUCUCAGACAGCAGAUUUCUCACAGGGAAGUGUCUCUCCCCAUGUCCCCGAAUGCCGUAUUUUCAAGAAGAACAUAAAAUCAGCUGGAUAAGUGAAAGAGAGCAGUGCACCUCAUGUAUCCCUAGUGUAAGCAGACAAAAUAUGCUUUCUUUCUUCCAUUUCAGCAUCUCUAUCUGCUAUAAACAUUUGCAACCAUGUCGUCUGCUUUGGCUGUCAUGAGUAAAUCCUUGUAUUUUCGCUUAACCACAACAAAUUGUGAAUUAAGUUAUUCUACUCACAGGAAAAUGGCAAAUGUUUAAACUGGGGGGUUGGGCUACAUUAAUUUCUCAGCCCUCCUUUUCAACUGCACAGGCCAAGUUAAGAUCUAGCCCCAGUGAUGCCAUGAGGGACAGAACUUGCCACAAGAACACGAACUCUCCGGUCUGCAGGAAGAAAUUGGUAAGCACACUUAAGUCUUGAACAUCAUGAGAAACAUAUCGCAGUGUGAAGUUACAGUAUGCUCAUGAUCAAAAUGGAAGAAAAGUAAGCUGUCUCCAGUUAAAUUGCUUUUCUUUUAAAAAAAUCUCCUCACUAGCAAAAAUAAUUAGAAUAAUCCAAACUGUAUUUAGAUUAAAUCUGAAGUUGGUUAUUAUGACAAAAAAAUGAAUGAUUCUUAAGAACAUAGAAUUGCUGAAAUGGAUGAAGAAACUCUAACUGUUAUAUGUUCUGCAUAAGGCAGAAAAAUCAUAAAUAAAAAUUCAAAUUAGCUAUUUCCAUUCUUCAGGAUUGAAACAAAGAGCCUAUGUGACUGAACUUGGUGUUUCACUGCAGUGUGACUUUACAUGAGUUUUUCCUCUUUGCUUUCUGGUACUUGAUUGUUUCCUUGGUAGUGUUUUAGUAACUCACUGUUAUCUUGACUGAUAAUUAAAGUACCAGAAAAUAAAAACACUUUUUAUUUCAUUCUUUUUCUCUUAUUUUGUAUCAUAAUCUUACCUUGAAGCUUUUUGUUUGUUUGUUUGUUUGUUUUCAUAAAGUACUUUACGAGAACAAAAUAUAAUUACGGGUACAUUCAUAUACCCUAAAAGCUUCCUGUACAACAUAGCACUGAUAUUCUCUUUGCAUUUUAAAUUGUUUGAAAAUGUCUCUACAGUUACCUUGUAACACUUCAUAUCAUAUGUGUUAUUUUUUAUUAGUCUAACUGUUCUGUCAUAUGAACUAAGACAAGCAGAUACUGUCAGAUCCCAGACUAGUGAAAAUAACUUCAGUGAUUUUGAGCUGAGUGGUUUUUUAUGAGAACUUUUUCCAAGCAAAAUUUGUGCUGAUAUAUCUAUAAGAAUUUAAAAAUUAUAAAUCUGAUUCAGAAAACAAGCCUACAACAUUCAAAUGUGCACAAAAGAUGUUUGCCUUAUCUUAUUUGCAUAUAUCUCAUAAAUAUGCUUAGAAAAUAUUACUUAUUUACAUUCAUCUUGUUACUUAUGUAUAAAGGGUGCAGUCUCCAAAAAGGACAUGUUUCUCUAGUAUAACAGGAUGUAUUUGUUUAUUUCUGCACAGUGUUUGUGCCACUGCAGUUAAAUUUGCAGCCCACGUUUCGAGGAUAUACCACUCAAUUUGAAGUUAUGAUGUUGAUUUUCCUAUCCAUGUUUUUCCCCUUGAAGCAAGAUGAAAAAUGUUCCAGCAAAGGCAUAAGAAAGCUAUUUUAAGAUCUUUGAAGAAAAAUUAAUAUGUUGCGAUGAUGAUAUUUCAUCUUAAUCUGACAUCGCCCAGACUUGUCUCUUUCAAGAAAGGGAGGACAUCUGGAAAUGAGUGAAAGCCACAAUAAAAUAAGAUUUUUUUUUACUGAAACUGAAAUAUGAUGGCAUAGUUUUUUCUUGACAGUUAUGAGUAGGAAUAAGUGGUAUGAUAAAGGUGCAUGAUUUAUUGUUAUAUGUAAUUACACGAGCUGCACAAUAUUGAAAAUUUACAGAAAACUGAACUGAUAUUUUGGAAACGAAAAUAUGAAAUAGAAAAUAGCUGUAGUUAUGGUUAUUCAUAGCCUAAAAGUAAAAAAAAAAAAGCCUCCAAGUAGCUAGAGAGAAAUUCAGUGAACAGGGAUAACACUGUAAAUGAAGAAGUUUUCUUUGAUGUACUUCUGUUUCUCAUACCUAAUGCAUGGAAUAAAUGAAGGCAAGAAAUGACUUUGUUUUUACUUUUGAGUUUCAUAAUCUCUGUUCCCCCAUGCAAAACAUGAGUCUGAUCUCAUUUCCACUAACUUGGGCAACGCAAUUAGUAUAAAUAAAUAAAUAUAUACACAUAUCCAAAGUGUCAUGUGAAACACCUUUAUAAGUCUGGAUACCAACAUUCAGAAAAGGUAAAUUCAAACUGAAAAGGAGCAAGGAGAGGUUAGCAGGGUGAACAGGUGAUUGGUGAGAUGAUUUUGUCGAAAGGGUGCUGAAAGACCUUGCUGGUUUUGAAAGUUGAAAGUUAAAAUGAGGACAAUUCUUAUACAUAAAUUCUUCAGCCAGGUAUCAGGAGAAAGGAUAAACUAUUUAAGCUAUGUUCACAAAAGAGCAGAUGUAAACUAGACCUGAGUAAAUUCAGGCUAGAAAUGAAAAUACUAUUUUUAAACCUUACUGUGUUGAGUUUGUGUGGCCAGGUAUGGUUAGUGGUGGGCUACAGGAGUGGCUUCCUGUUUGGUGCAGCCAAUGCCAGCCAGCUCCAGGAUGGAUUCGCCACUGGCCAAGGCUGAGCCAAUCAGAAAUGGUGGUAAUGCCUCUGGGAUAACAUAUUUAAAAAAUAAAAAAUCCCAAAACAUUAUUGUGCAGAUGCAAUUGCACCCAGAGAAGAGUGGAGAGAGAACAUGUGAGAGGAACAACUAUGCAAACACAAGGUCGGUGAAGGAGGGGGAGGAGGUGCUCCAGAUGUUGGAGCUGAGAUUCCCUUGCAGCCCGUGGUGCAAACCAUGAUGGAGCAGCUGUGCCCCUGGAGAACAUGGAGGACCACUGGGAUGCAGAGAUUCACUGGGAUGCAGAGAUCCACCUGCAGCCUGAGGAGGGGACCAACACUGAGCAUGUGAAUGCCUGAAAGAUGGCUGUGAACCUGUGGGAAACUUGUGUUGGAAAGGGUUCCUGGCAGGGACCUGUUGACCCAAGGAGGGAGGAGCCCACACUGGAGUAGGUUUCCUGGUAGGACUUAUGACCCUGUAGGGGACCCAUGCUGGAGCAGCCUGUGCCUGAAGGACUGCACCCCAUGGAAGAGUGAUCCACGUUGCAGCAGUUCAUGGAUAACUGUUGCCUGUAGGAUGGACCCAUAUUGGAGAAGUUUUGUAAAGGACUGACUCCCAUAGGAGGGACACCACAAUGGAACAGAGGAAAGACUCUUCUCCCUGAGCAGUGGCAGAAAUAACCUGUGAUGAACUGACCAUAAGCCCUUUCCCUGUCUCCCUGCAACUCUGGGUGGGAAGAGGUAGAGCUUGGGAAAAAGGGAGGAGGAAAAAGGAGGAAAAAGGUGUUUUUUAGAAUUUUUUUUAUUUCUCAUUAUCCAGCUCUGAUUUUAUUAGUAAUAAAAUUCAGUUAAUAUCUCCAAUUUGAAUGUGGUUUGCACAUCACGAUAUUUGGUGAAUGAUCUCUCCUGGUCCUUAUCUCAACUCAUGGACUUUUGUUAUAUUUUCUCUCCCCUGUCCAGCAGAGAAGGGGAGUGAUAGAGCUACUUUGGUGGGUGCCUGGCAUCCAGUCACGCUGCCCUGACUGAAUUGACAUUCUGGAUAUCCCAGGAUGUCAUGGCUGAUUAAUGUGAAAUAUAGGAAUUAAUAAUUUAAAAUAGCAUAUGAAAUGCUUCUAGUGUGAAGCACCAGUCUUUUCUACAACGGUGGAAGACACUCUUUCAGGAGCAGUGUUAUUUAACAUGGCUCUCAAUCACCUAUCCAGAGCUAUGAAUGUCAAAUUGAAACAUUCCUCUGCAGCUUUUACAAUCUUUCUUUAUUCCAAAUUUUUUUUUAUUCUUUCCUAUAUCUUCCAAAAGCAGGUUCCUAUUUUCCUUAAGUGCCAACUGUUAGAAUAUAACACUUUUUUGGCAAUCAUACAGAUAAGAUCUGCUGUCUGCAUAAAAUAUUAACUAAUAAUAAAUUAGCAUCAGAUAAAAUAUUCUGCUACUUAAUAUUGGAAAAGUGACAUCCCAAUCAAUAUAAACAACUGAGCUACAUUUCAAGCUGCAUUUACUCAUGUAUAGUAUUAGUCAUCUCUGCCUGUUACCGAAGAAUUAGUUAUCACAAAGGUAUAUUCUAGAACACUUUGUCCCUUCCCCUCCUCCCCCUUAGGUCUCUUCUUAAAAAAAAUUUGCAAAUUCUUCAGAAAAAAAAAUGUAGGAGCCUCAAUCUCACUUUUAUGCUGGAAAAAAUGUUGGAAAAUAAGGAAGCCUUGGCUUGAGUGACGCCAUCUAAAAAUUAUGUCAAUGAAGAGACUAGAGUGAAGAACUGGUGUUAGGGGUGCUUGUUGUUGAAAUGCUUUGCAAAGUAUCUGAUCUCAACAUACCUGUCUCAUUAACUACUGAUCCUCGGAUGACAGAGAUAAAUGAAACCAUGCAGAGGUUAACAGGCCCAGUUUCUCGCUGUACCUAUGAACACCUUGUUUAACUGAAUCUCUGAGACAGUUAAUACCAUCCCUACUUAUUUUAAUCUGCACUACUUUUAAAAAUAACUAUAUGUGAUUCAUUAUUGCUAUACCUAUUUUUUAUUCAACAUUUAACAGAAAUGUCCUGCCUUUAAUAUAAAUUGUAUUAUCUUGAUAAUAUCUCUAGCACAUCCAAAAUUAAAACAACCUGCAUCUAUGGUAUUUGCAUUAUUAUCUUUACCUCUACACCUUUAACUGUAUGCUAUGCAACCAGAACUCUAUCAACAACUUCUCUCUUCAUAUCAAACAUCAAGCAUAAGUCAAGCACAUGGUCAUUGAAGCAGAAUGUCUGUUAAAUCCAGUCAGACAGAGAGAAAAUAAAUUUUCACCCUAACCAAGUUUUUAAAGCGAAAAUCAUGCAAUUUUCAAAACCAGAAUCAAACCCAAGAUAUUUGUCUCUGAUCAGGAAACACACAAUUAAAUUAUUUUGUUUUGAAAUUAUUUAACUCGUUGUAACUAUUUGUUCAAAUCGGGUUUUGCAUUAGUUUAAUUUUACUACUAACACACUGUCUUAUGGAAACUAUUUUAUGUUCAUGUCUUUCAGAAUGGAUAACUGCCUCAAAAUCUUAGUGAUCCACUAUAAGUAUAUGCUCAAAUACAGGACUCUGGCUGCAGGAGAGAAUUGUGACAUUAUAUGGAAAAAAAAUCUUUUUAAAACAAGAGAAAAUUCAGGUGGAAUAUUUCUGAUUAUCUAAGGCUGGGUAUGCAUAAAUAAUCCAUUCAACACAAAAUUUCAAAGUGAAACCUACUGAAAUGUUGAUAUUCCAGCUUUUUUGUCCUAAUACUGAAUUUAUUACAUUUCCAUUACUUUAAGAAUUCAAGAGCAUGUUCUACAGUCCACAUAUCUGUGAAUGCAGGAUUUGGGGUAUAUAUUUCUAAAUAUUUAUGCAGGCUUUUUAUGGCUAUUCCUGGGCAGGCCUCUUCAUAUUUUGAUUCUUUCUCACAGACUUCUAUCAGAAUUUUAAUAAUUCUUUACUAUCUGUGCUAGUGCAUUAUUAUACUCAGAUAAAUGCAAGGCUUCAACCUAGCUCUACUUCCCCUCUGUAUAUUCUACUCAUAGAUCUACCUACUUUUGUGCACUACUAGCUUUGCAAAUUCUCCCAAGUGCCUCAUAAGGCUCCUGAAUACCAGUCAAGGUUAAUUCUUCUCCCAUGUCUUCAUUCCGUUUCCACUGUUGUCUCUGUCAGAGAGCAUAUACAUGAACAGGAGCACCAGAGUCAUAUUAAAAAUUACAUGCAAAAGACCCUGUCACCUUUCUUGUGAAUGAUGCAAUAAUCUCAGUGUUGGGAAGAUUUCCCUUAACAGUCUACAUUGUUUGUUGUUUUAUUUGAUAGCCUUUUGACCUCCAUAUAAAGUGUUUCUGUCUCUGAAUAACUAUAACCAGUUACUAACUCCUUGAUAUUUGAUCUAGUUCAAGUGACGAGUUUUUUCUUGCCAAAAAUGCAAUCAAUGUUAUGGAAGGUGGUGAAAAGUGAAAAAAAAUUGUUCCCCACUGAAAAAGGCAAGUUAUUUUAAAUUGCAAGGAAAACAUAAUUAUAGAUAAUUACCACAGAUUACAUUUUCUACAUACAUGCACUAAUUAAAUCACCUAUUAGGUGAUUAUAUUUUAAUAGAUUUUUUACUUUCUAUUUUGCAUUACAUAUGAUAAAUCAAAUACACAACAAAUGAGAAAUGACAGCAGCUAUCAAAAUUACCCUCAGAAUCAUUUUAUUCUGGAUAAACAUAAGAAAAUUUCCAGACUAUUGAAAGAGAAAAGGAACAGUGUUUAUCUAUCUCCAGUCAACCGUGAAGCUAAUUUAAUAAACACAGAAGUUUUAGUUCUAAACAUAUUUUGUUAUUCACUACUAAGUCCUUGUGGCCAACAGAAAACAGUUCAUAUUGUCCCCAUGUCAGCCUAGGUAAGGUCUUAAUUAUUGUACAAAACAUGUAUGAAAGGGUAAAAAACAGAGAAGAAAACAAUACAGUUUUUGCCUAUCAUAUAUGGGAUUGUUAUUAUUUAUUUAAAAGAUGCAAAAGCCAUAGAAACUGUGUUUAGAGAGUAUUCCAUAGCAGACUAAAUUAGCAAACCUACAGGGAACAUGGCAUGGUACUUUUUACAGAAUUUCAUGGUUUGUACCAGGGAUGGAAGAAAGAUAAUGCCUCAUACAAUCACCUCUCAAUUUUUACUAAAUUCACUGGCAUAAACUGUGGCUAAACUGAAAUAUUCUAAGCUGUCAGAAGCCUCCUGAGAUACACUUUCUCCUUAUAUACUAACAUCCCAUCAAGGUUCACAUUUUUACUUAUCUCCUUUGACUUGCUUGGUGGUCAGCUUGGUAGUUUAAAACAGUGGUACUUCUGUAGGCAAAUUGGGAAAGAAAAAUAACUAAUUCUAUUCAUCUAGCAACACUUUUUUCUUAAAAUAACACUUCUGAAAACAAAAAGAAAUAAGCAACCCACUCAUCUUCCCUUCAUCCAUGACCCUUCAAAACUUCCCUAAUAUUAAAGCUUUUUUUGAUUGAAUCUGCAAAAGCGCCAGAGUCCCUCUGGUACUUUGUACCUUAAGUUCCCUUCUACGUGCUUAUUGCAAUAGCAUCUUUCAGGCUUGAGUGGGUUUUGGAUUAAAUCCCUAAUUUCUCAUUUCCAAAAGUAACAGUAAUGAUUUCUCCUAUCUGGCUAAUGAUAAUUUAGCACUGUCACCAUGUGAGAUAUUGUAUCCUUGUUGUCCUGUUUCUGCCAAAAAUUUUAUCAUAAUAAAUGCAAUAGAAUAAGAGGCUUCUUUUUAUGUUGGCGUACCUAACAGCUGUCUAUUUUGAUCAUGGAAUUAAUUCUUCAAAACCUCCAACUUUUUCACAAACAGCAAUCUAGUUUUAAUUAAAAUGUUUGCAGAGAAAUUUGCUGUAAUAACUGACAGUCCUGCUAAAUCCCUCAUUUUGAAUUUUUUGGUCAUGAAUUCUCUGGAAUUCCCAGGUCUAGGUCUUGAGUUACUUUGGAGGUACACAUAGUGUAGCUUAGUAAAACCAGGAACAUGCACCUGAAGGUGAACACUGAAAGUUUUGCAGUUAAAUUGCAAAUUUGUUUCAUUUGGUAUUUCUCCUAGGAAAUUGUUUCCUGCCUGCAUAGUACUGAGCCUGAAAAUUUGGAUCCAAACACCCAUCUGUUCUGUGGUAUACAUUCUAGUGCUCAAAAAGGAAUAUUUAACAAGUUAUCCUUAGUGUAGAAGGAGUAAGGACAGGCAAGCCUGUGUCAGCUUUUACUAACAACUCUUCUCAUUUGUUCUAACACCUCCAAUUUAGCUGGAUUAGAUCAUGGUGGCUCUGUUUCAUACCUUACUGACUGGUAGACAAAAGGUACUGUGGCCUCCACUUAGUGGUGCUUCUGGCACAAGUCUGGCGCUGAGGCCACACGAUCACUUUGUCUAGAAGCGGUGAGGCAAAAGGAUGGCAGCAAAGAUAUUCUACCUGCAUUAGUGGUGUUGAAGCCAAGAAAAGAGCAUUUACAGCAAACAGCAGCUUUGCCUGGUUUUUGGUAUACCCUGCUAGUCACUGCUGGUAAUAGCAUUCUGAAUGUCUACUAGUCUAUAACUUCUUCCAGUCCUAAUAACAUCUCUGUCAUUUCUUCCUCCAGAGCAUUUUAAACCCAGUAUCACCUGUCACCUUGCAUUUCCACUCAACAUAUUCUUAUUUCAUCCCCAGCAUAGACUAAAAAUCUCAGUAUGACUUUAAACUUUAUUUUACAUAGAGCUAUGACUACUUCAGUGUGAACCCAGUCCCAGAAUACCAUUAUUCAAUAUCAUCACAAUUUGUUUCUCCAGAUUCCUUCCAUAAGGACUACAUGGGGGGGAAAAAAACACCUCUUACUAGCGAGCAUAAUUAAUUUUGUGUUUGUUUUUAAAAAAAUCAGCUAAUUAGUGGUGUGACACAGUUAAUUUGUGACUUUAAAAAUAUUUAUGAUUCUUUAUGAUUUGAUUCUAUGCUUUGGAGGAAAAUAACUUCACAGUGUUUAGAGUGUAGAGAAUUGCCAAUUUUCUUAAAAAUAUUUGGACUGCUGGACUAAACCUGCCUUAAUAACUGGCAGACUAUAACCCAGAUCAGUUUUAUGCAUAGGAAGAGUCAGACAACAGAGUUAUUCCAGUGGCACCUUCUUCUCUGAAUAUGCUUGGUAAGUUAGAAAAAUCCUAAAAGACACGUUAUAAUGUUUUUCAAUCUCCUUACAGCACUGCAACAGCCAGGGAUGGAGUAGAACUAAAUUUGUGCUUUGAAAAUGAAACUCUUCAGCAAAGUAAUCAAAGUUCAGGUGCUUUAAAAAUUAUUUCUAAUAUUAGAUAAUAUUUAUCACAAAAAUAAUCCUCCUAUGUCUCCUAUAUACCCAAAUCAUAACAACAUUAAAAAAUACAUUAAAAAAUAGACAGGCCCAACAAUUUCUUUCUACAGACACGUUAUAAGGACUUAAUCCAGCAUGGAUGGCAAUAUAAAGCAACUUUAAUUUAUGUGCUUGUGAAGAUGCUCCUCAGUAAGAUGAAUACCACUUUCAAGAAAAUAAAAUGAAAAACCAAAAUCCAAACUAGAAAACCCUACUGUCAUUAUAGUACCUGCAGAGUGAUACCACUAACAGACCUGGCUGUUUGUUUCUAAGGAAGAACAGCUGUGCAACAGACUGUCUGAACAGUUCCUAUUACAGAAUGCAGCAUGGAUCACUGACACAAAGGAAGCACUACACCAGCUGGCUUUCUGUCUUAGAGCAUUUCUAUUCCUAGAUGAUUUACCUGUUCUCAGUCCUGUCACCUUAACACUUCUACUACCCAAUUAAAAAACAAUGUUGCUGGAUUCUUUCUGCUGUAAAUUAGAUAUGUUUUUUUUUUUCAGAUCAAACUGGUUUACUUUUUUUUAAAGUGUGCAAUACAUGACUUAUUUUUAAACUUAUAAAA